CCUGUUAUUUAUAACCUCUGAAGGCAGAAGAAAAAAAUCAGCCUGCUUACUCAGAGGAGCAACAAGCAAUGGAUCCCAAAGGCCAGAAAGUGAAGCUUAAUGAUGGCCACUUCAUUCCUGUCCUGGGAUUUGGAACUUUUGCACCUCCAGAGGUUCCUAAGAGUGAAGCUCUGGAGGUCACCAAAUUUGCUAUAGAGGCUGGGUUCCGCCAUAUUGACAGUGCUCAUUUGUACCAAAAUGAAGAGCAGGUUGGCCAGGCCAUUCGAAGCAAGAUUGCCAAUGGAACUGUGAAGAGAGAAGACAUAUUCUACACUUCAAAGCUUUGGUCCACUUCCCUUCGUCCAGAGUUGGUCCGACCAGCCUUGGAAAAGUCACUGAAUAAUCUUCAACUGGACUAUGUCGAUCUCUAUAUUAUUCAUUUUCCAGUGGCUCUGAAGCCAGGGGAAGCAAUUUUUCCAACAGAUGAAAAUGGAAAACCAAUAUUUGACUCAGUGGAUCUCUGUCACACGUGGGAGGCCCUGGAGAAGUGUAAGGACGCAGGGUUGACCAAGUCCAUUGGGGUGUCCAACUUCAACCACAAGCAGCUGGAGAAGAUUCUGAACAAGCCGGGGCUCAAGUACAAGCCCGUCUGCAACCAGGUGGAAUGUCACCCUUAUCUCAACCAGAGCAAACUGUUGGAUUUCUGCAAGUCACAUGAUAUUGUUCUUGUUGCCUAUGGUGCUCUGGGAUCCCAACGAAUAAAAGAAUGGGUGAACCCAAACCUCCCCUAUCUCUUGGAGGACCCGGUUCUCUCUGCCAUUGCCAAAAAACACAAGCAAACCCCAGCUCUGGUUGCCCUUCGCUACCAGAUACAACGUGGGGUUGUGGUUCUGGCCAAGAGUUACAACAAGAAGCGGAUCAAAGAGAACAUACAGGUGUUUGAUUUUGAACUGACUCCAGAGGACAUGAAAGCAAUCGAUGGCCUCAACGGCAAUUUAAGAUAUAAUGAGAUACAAAUGUGUGUUGGUCACCCUGAGUAUCCAUUUUUCGAAGAAUAUUGACUGUGAGUUGUACACCGUGCAUUCUACCAGAAUGUCUUGCCUCUAGGGCUGUGAAGAGGAUUUCUCAAUAAUUAGACAUUGAGACCUCGAAGCAGUAAUCCUCUCUUUUCCCUCUGUAGCUGGGCUGACCACCAUGCAGGCAGCUGGACCUGAACGCACAAAGGACUUGGGGCAAUGGGUGUCUCUGUGAAGCUAGUCCCUGAAGAUGGGGGUACUCCCAAGUCUUUGCUCUGUAUCUAAACCAGAGUAUGUUCUUCAGCUACAAUUUUCCAAGAAAGAUCAAGAUCUUCCAAAAAGAAGGAAUAACUGUAUUUUCUUCUUAUUCAUCUGAAUUUGUGGGUGGAAAUCACGAACACUGUAUUGAGCAGAAUUUUCUAGUUAUCAGAACAAGAACAAUAGUUGUGCUUGCUCCAGGACAUGAAGAAAUUGUUCUCAUUGAAGAUGGAGUAAAUGAACACCCAGCAGAUGUUGAAAUGCACAUCACCUAAGAAGAGAUCCUUGAAUGUUUGCUUGCGAAUCUGAGCAUUUCUUAUACACUAUUAUCAGCCCCUUCUAUAAUAAAGAUGUUUAUGGAUGUAA